rnacentral:rRNA from 1 species
AUUGAACGCUGGCGGCAGGCCUAACACAUGCAAGUCGAACGAGUGGCGGACGGGUGAGUAAUGUCUGGGAAACUGCCUGAUGGAGGGGGAUAACUAAUGGAAAAGGUAGCUAAUACCGCAUACCAUCGGAUGUGCCCAGAUGGGAUUAGCUAGUAGGUGGGGUAACGGCUCACUUAGGCGACGAUCCCUAGCUGGUCUGAGAGGAUGACAAGCCACCCUGGAACUUGGACACGGUCCAGCCUCCUCCUGGAGUCAGCAGUUGGGAAUAUUGCACAAUGGGCGCAAGCCUGAGGCAGCCAUGCCGCGUGUAUGAAGAAGGCCUUCGGGCUGUAAAUUACUUUCAGCGUGGAGGCGUUACCCGCAGAAGAAGCACCGGCUAACUCCGUGCCAGCAGCCGCGGUAAUAC